AGUAAAAGUCGUAACAAGGUCUCCGUUGGUGAACCAGCGGAGGGAUCAUUACAGAGUUAUCCAACUCCCAAACCCAUGUGAACUUAUCUCUUUGUUGCCUCGGCGCAAGCUACCCGGGACCUCGCGCCCCGGGGGGCCCGCCGGCGGACAAACCAAACUCUGUUAUCUUCGUUGAUUAUCUGAGUGUCUUAUUUAAUAAGUCAAAACUUUCAACAACGGAUCUCUUGGUUCUGGCAUCGAUGAAGAACGCAGCGAAAUGCGAUAAGUAAUGUGAAUUGCAGAAUUCAGUGAAUCAUCGAAUCUUUGAACGCACAUUGCGCCCAUUAGUAUUCUAGUGGGCAUGCCUGUUCGAGCGUCAUUUCAACCCCUAAGCACAGCUUAUUGUUGGGACUCUACGGCUUCGUAGUUCCCCAAAGACAUUGGCGGAGUGGCAGCAGUCCUCUGAGCGUAGUAAUUCUUUAUCUCGCUUUUGUUAGGCGCCGCCCCCCCGGCCGUUAAACCCCCCAAUUUUUUCUGGUUGACCUCGGAUCAGGUAGGAAUACCCGCUGAACUUAAGCAUAUCAAUAAGCGGAGGAAAAGAAACCAACAGGGAUUGCCCCAGUAACG
rnacentral:rRNA from 1 species